rnacentral:tRNA from 1 species
GGGGCUAUAGCUCAAUUGGCUAGAGCGCUAGCUUUGCAAGCUAGAUGUUAAGGGUUCAAGUCCCUUUAGCUCCA